UACGAAGGGGGCUAGCGUUGCUCGGAAUCACUGGGCGUAAAGCGCACGUAGGCGGAUUGCUAAGUCAGGGGUGAAAUCCUGGAGCUCAACUCCAGAACUGCCUUUGAUACUGGCGAUCUCGAGUCCGAGAGAGGUGAGUGGAACUGCGAGUGUAGAGGUGAAAUUCGUAGAUAUUCGCAAGAACACCAGUGGCGAAGGCGGCUCACUGGCCCGGUACUGACGCUGAGGUGCGAAAGCGUGGGAGCAAACAGG
rnacentral:rRNA from 1 species